rnacentral:rRNA from 1 species
AGCGAACGCUGGCGGUAGGCCUAACACAUGCAAGUCGAACGGCAGCACAGUAAGAGCUUGCUCUUACGGGUGGCGAGUGGCGGACGGGUGAGGAAUACAUCGGAAUCUACAUUUUCGUGGGGGAUAACGUAGGGAAACUUACGCUAAUACCGCAUACGACCUACGGGUGAAAGCAGGGGAUCUUCGCACCUUGCGCGAUUGAAUGAGCCGAUGUCGGAUUAGCUAGUUGGCGGGGUAAAGGCCCACCAAGGCGACGAUCCGUAGCUGGUCUGAGAGGCUGAUCAGCCACACUGGAACUGGGACACGGUCCAGACUCCUACGGGAGGCAGCAGUGGGGAAUAUUGGACAAUGGGCGCAAGCCUGAUCCAGCCAUACCGCGUGGGUGAAGAAGGCCUUCGGGUUGUAAAGCCCUUUUGUUGGGAAAGAAAAGCAGCAGGUUAAUACCCCGCUGUUCUGACGGUACCCAAAGAAUAAGCACCGGCUAACUUCGUG